AAAUUACUGCCUUCUUCCCUCUUUUGUGUCUUGCCUUUCUUCCUGGUGCUUCAGCACUAAGGGUUUUGCUCCCUCUCCCUGCCCUUUCCCCUCCACGGACUCAAUUUUCUUCUGAAUGGGUGGCCAUUUUAAUUACCUUCCCCCUUCCCCACCCCACCUCUCUGCCCUUGCCCUUGCUGCUGAGAAAGGCAGGCUCAGGAUAACUACCUGGGGACUGAGAAUGAGCCAGGCUUGCUGUUCACACGGGGACAAGGAAAGAAGAGACAGAGACAUUUGGAUCCUAUAGUCUCUGCAGUGAAAGUUUUAUUGGUGGCUAGAGGUGCAGGUAGCUAAUUUAACAAGUCCACAGCGCUGGGUGCAGUACCUCCUGCUUCUUCAGGAGUCCAUCUGGCCUGGUGGAGUUUUGCCUAAGUUUCCACGGCCCGUAAGGACCCAAGAGCAGAAACUGGCUGCUGAGAAACAGGCUUUGCAGAGCCUGAUGGGAGUCCUCCCAGAUCUCGUAGUAGAAAUUCUUGGGGUGAACAAAUGCCGGCUGAGCUGGGGUCUAGUCCUGGAGUCACUACAACAACCCCUCAUCAACAGGCAUUUGAUUUACUGCCUUGGGGACAUCAUCCUGGAAUUCUUGGAUCUCAGUGCCUCUGUUGAGGAGUCUGCUGCUACCACCUCUGCCUCAGAUACCCCAGGCAACUCUAAGAGGAUGGGUGUCUCCUCUUAGCUGGUUAUUCACGCCUUCUUCCCAGGUCAGGGAAGUAGAGUUACUCGGCCACCAGAGACCAGUCAGGAAGCCCGUGCCCUCUUCAAGUAGGCUACAGCUAAGAAGGCCUAGGUUCUCGGUGGCUCACUUCUCUCCCACUUCUGCUCCAUUUGUAGCAGGUGACAG
rnacentral:lncRNA from 1 species